AGUGAACGCUGGCGGCGUGCCUAAUACAUGCAAGUCGAACGCGAAAGUCCUUCGGGAUGAGUAAAGUGGCGCACGGGUGAGUAAUGGUUGAGAACGUGCCCUGAGGUGGGGAAUAACAGUUGGAAACGACUGCUAAUACCGCAUGGCUUCGAAAGAAUAAAGGCGGGGAUCGCAAGACCUACCGCCACAGGAUCGGCUCAACUCCCAUUAGCUAGUUGGUAGGGUAAUGGCCUACCAAGGCAACGAUGGGUAUCUGGUCUUAGAGGAUGAUCAGACACACUGGAACUGAGACACGGUCCAGACUCCUACGGGAGGCAGCAGUAGGGAAUAUUGCACAAUGGGGGAAACCCUGAUGCAGCAACGCCGCGUGAGUGAAGAAGGCCCUUGGGUUGUAAAGCUCUUUAGCCUGGAAAGAAGUGCCUGUAAGUAAAUAAUUUGCAGGUGUGACGGUACCAGGAGAAUAAGGACCGGCUAAUUUCGUGCCAGCCGCCGCGGUAA
rnacentral:rRNA from 1 species